rnacentral:lncRNA from 1 species
CAUAUCCUCAAAUAUGGAAUACCGGCGAGAUCAGGUGGGACCAUUCUAGCAAAUGAGAGGGCAGAUCCGCGUGUGAACAAAAGGCACAACUCCGAUAGUUUCUCUCCAAAUUGCAACGUGCGUCCACGUAUCAGUGCAUUUCGUAACAACCUUAACCAUUACUAAACUUCGUUUCGAUCAAAUAAGCCUCAAGUAGCAUGCAACUUUUGUUGACCAAAUUUGACACUCACUGACCUCCAUACAAAACUCCCUCACUUGGUCUAUUUUCGUGGACAAAUUUUGGGCGGCGUAAACCCUUUCGCUACGCUUCUUCCUCUCGAAUGACCAAACGUCGCCCAUUUACCGUAUUAACUGCACUUGGGGUCAAAACUAAUGACGCAACCUGAGUAAUUACGGUAGGCCUACAAGCGGAGUUAGAAGAGAAACUCGUCUUUGAACAGUCCAGAUAUCUAACUUUUACGAGUUUGCUGUAGUAGCCUACCUAAGAAUGAAAGAAAACACUUACAGGCCUCUUACCUCUAACGGUCGCCAUCAGCUCUCGCUGUGUUUUGAUAUGUCUUAGCGACAGAUUAUGGAUCCUUUCUAAAUGGUUCAACAUGGAUGUUGUGCUACCGCUCGUCCGCUUCAGAACAGCCGCACACAGCUUGCAUGUCACACUUUCGGAAGAUAUUUCAUUGAAAUAUCUCCAUGUGUGACUUCUAUAUUUUUUACUGUCUCUGCUUCUACAUUCCAUAUCUCACAACUGCUGGUUCUUAGUGUAAUGGAAGGAUAGUUUGAGCUAUCUCAACUGCAGAGUACAGUCUUUGGUAGCCGUCUGGAUCUGCGACAUUUCAUUGCGCAUGUGCUGGGAUUAAAGGCGAACGUCUUCACCACUCCACAUAGCCCACACAUACAAAAGCAACAUUUGAAAAUAAUAAAUCAAGCAUUCUGCUUGACAAUAGCACGCAUUUUUAUUUUAAUUCUCACACGUACAUAAACGAGUCCAAUUUGAGCCCCCCAAUAAAAAAAAAAUCAUAACCGCACAAACGGAUCUAUCGGACCCGACUGCAAACCGCCAUUAGGAAAGACUGCUACCCCAACCCGAACCCUGUGGAAUUGAACCGACGGCCACAACCCGAGCUAACCAUCUUUGUCCCUCCUGCUGCGCAUUUUAAGCUCCACGUUUUGCACUACAAUUUGCUACUGUGCAAUCAAUAGACGUCUUACCGUGCAUUUCUCAAUGUGUUUUUUCAAGCUGGAAGUGCCUGUUCUAUGGCUAUCAUAGGCUAACACCCGCUUGCACUUUUUGCAUGCUGCGAAUCCAUCCACAUGUUGUUUGUCAGCGUUAACGAUUACUCCAAAAUGAUCCCAUACAUUUGAUUUAACUCGUGCCCUGUUUUUCACGAUUCUGAGCUCCCUAUUUUUUAUCUUUUGGGUCAAAUUCUGGUUUUCCGUGGUAUGCUUUUUGCUUUCCAUUUUGUCGGUCUUCUCUGGCUGUGCGGGUAGGGUUAUCCAGUGGGUAGUUUUCACUGUGUCAAUGCGCGCUGCAUGUGAUGUAAGCUGGCUGCAAACUACCGUAGCAGAGAAUAGUUUAGCUGUAGGCUUCUAUACGCUUUCUAGAAUGACAUUUACAAGCAAUACAACACCCGAUAAGAUGCAAUACACACACUUUACAGUGUUCAUUUGAGCACUUUUUUUGGUUGAUCUAGGGCUCUAUUAGCCCUUGACUCUCAGUUGCAUUAAAUUAGUCAUUGGACAAAGGCUAUUUUGUAGUUUUAAGAGCCCCGAUGCUCGGUCUGAACAGUUGUACUUGUGGUACAGUUUUGGAAGUAUAAGGACAUUAUCUUUAUCAGCUAGAAAGCAAAAAAGUUAAAUUGAUACACAUUUAUAGGGUUAGUGUUCCCGCACUGCCAUAUCUCCAUGUUACAGCGCUUUAACGGAGAACGGACGCGACCACCUGUACUAAUUAGCUAUCUAGCGCCUACUCUGGAAGUGCAGUUCGUUGGAUGGAGGCACCCAGACCUGUAUGGAUCUAUUCAAAUCUGCUACACUUGUACCACUGGGAGAGUUGCCCUGGCGUGGGCCUUAUUUGCAUCAAUGAUUUGUUGCCGCCAGAUUGGAGAACGGUUGCCGGGCAGAGAGGUGACUAGUGAAGGACUGGGGCAUGCUUCCCAGGCAACCACAGCAGCAGGAUUGUUUUGAUUAAAAAUCAGCUUUCCCAAGGCAAAGAAGGGGGAUAUGCUGUGAAACCUGUGAAGACAGACCCAACAUACUGCUACGGAGAAGGGCUCCUGGAUCUCCUCUUUAACGAGGUCACCCUUGAUCGAGCACCGCAUAUGUGGAAGCUGUGCUAGCUGUACGUCCCAGGACCCCUGUCGGCCCAGUGUGAGAGGCCUGCGCUGUACGUCCCAGGACCCCUGUCGGCCCAGUGUGAGAGGCCUGCGCUGUACGUCCCAGGACCCCUGUCGGCCCAGUGUGAGAGGCCUGCGCUGUACAUCCCAGGACCCCUGCCGGCCCAGUGUGAGAGGCCUGCGCUGUACGUCCCAGGACCCCUGUCGGCCCAGUGUGAGAGGCCUGCGCUGUACGUCCCAGGACCCCUGUCGGCCCAGUGUGAGAGGCCUGCGCUGUACAUCCCAGGACCCCUGCCGGCCCAGUGUGAGAGGCCUGCGCUGUACGUCCCAGGACCCCUGUCGGUCCAGUGUGAGAGGCCUGCGCUGUACGUCCCAGGACCCCUGUCGGCCCAGUGUGAGAGGCCUGCGCUGUACGUCCCAGGACCCCUGUCGGCCCAGUGUGAGAGGCCUGCGCUGUACAUCCCAGGACCCCUGCCGGCCCAGUGUGAGAGGCCUGCGCUGUACGUCCCAGGACCCCUGUCGGCCCAGUGUGAGAGGCCUGCGCUGUACGUCCCAGGACCCCUGUCGGCCCAGUGUGAGAGGCCUGCGCUGUACAUCCCAGGACCCCUGCCGGCCCAGUGUGAGAGGCCUGCGCUGUACGUCCCAGGACCCCUGUCGGUCCAGUGUGAGAGGCCUGCGCUGUACGUCCCAGGACCCCUGUCGGCCCAGUGUGAGAGGCCUGCGCUGUACGUCCCAGGACCCCUGUCGGCCCAGUGUGAGAGGCCUGCGCUGUACGUCCCAGGACCCCUGCCGGCCCAGUGUGAGAGGCCUGCGCUGUACAUCCCAGGACCCCUGCCGGCCCAGUGUGAGAGGCCUGCGCUGUACGUCCCAGGACCCCUGUCGGUCCAGUGUGAGAGGCCUGCGCUGUACGUCCCAGGACCCCUGCCGGCCCAGUGUGAGAGGCCUGCGCUGUACGUCCCAGGACCCCUGUCGGUCCAGUGUGAGAGGCCUGCGCUGUACGUCCCAGGACCCCUGUCGGUCCAGUGUGAGAGGCCUAACGAGGAGGCGGCCAUAGCUGAUUUGUCUCCCACUUCAAUCUUGGGGGUGACUGAAGCCUGCUUGAUUCAAGCGGGGUAUACGGGUCCCCAUCAAUCUCUGUAGGUGGUUGAGUUUUCUAAAGUCAAAGUCAUAUCACGUAAACGUGAAUUACAUCACACUUUGUAUUGUUUCUUCAAGCAUUCGGACAGGAGAGCAGUGUUACAAAUUGUAUGAGUCAAGGGGUUCUGCACACUGUUGGGUGGCCGGUGCCUAUAUAAGGUAUAUGGCUCUAAUAUAUUUUUUUAAUGUCAAAUGAUGUCUCACCAUUAUUUCGCACCUUCAUUUAUGGUGAUCAAUAUUUUGGUUGUGCUGGCCUAAUUGUAAAUGAUCAAACUAAUGUCUGAUCAAUACAUACAAUUCUGAACAUGUUAUUUAUAAUGCUAAUGAAGAGGCACCAAUACAUUGUCCAGUACACUGAUUAUAUGCUGUUUUCAUAUACAUUCCCUUAUGGCUAAGGUGUCUUGAGCUUUACUAAUUCUUGUGAAGAAGUGUAUCAGUGAAAUGUAUUCUGUAAUUAGUUACAAAACAAUAGUCUGACUAAACUUCAUAUGGAGAAAAGGAAUGCUGUAGUCUAUGUUGGAAACAUAAGACUUUGUUAUUGGACUAAUAUGCAUAAACACAGUGCAACUGUACACCUAGAAUAUGUAAACAUGACACGUCAAGAACAUGAGCCAGUUCUGUUGGCCAUGAGAGCAUUUUGCAGAGAAAAUGGGUUGAGCCUUACAAUUUAGGUUAGGAUUGUUUACCUUGUUACCAGGCAACGACCACAAGGGCGUUUCAAAGAGCUCUCAGUCAAGGCGAGCUCAUGAAUAUAAGCUCUCCGCCCAGUCAGCCCCUGUUCUUUCAGGCUUCCUGACUGUGAGAGAAUGUACCAUUUCUUCAAUUCUGAGCAUUUUAAUGGUGUACAAAUAUUAUGGGUGAUGUUUUGGUCAUGUAAAGGCUAUUUUUACUUGGGGAAAUAGGAUGAUUAUGUGGGACGUUUUUGUAGAAAUAGGCGGGGUUUAGGGUCGUUGACACAAAGUCCUUUUUAAUAUAAAAAAACAGACAAUGCUGACAGAGAAUUUCUGAUUUCUUAAAGAAAAUAGUGAGGUAAUAAACAGUAUCUUUAUAAAUGAUUGUAAAGCAAUAAAUAAAGACUAUACACUGGAUUCUGAGUUAUUAACAAAAGGAUGAAAGUUCACAGUACACAUGGAGAAAUGCCCGUAAAAUGACUAGCCUACAUCCGAAGUCAUGUUUAAUUCAUGUGAAGGGACAGCCUAUAUCCAAAGUCAUGUUUAAUACAUGUGAAGGGACAGCCUAUAUCCGAAGUCAUGUUUAAUACAUGUGAAGGGACAGCCUAUAUCCGAAGUCAUGUUUAAUACAUGUGUGAAGGGACAGCCUACAUCCGAAGUCAUGUUUAAUACAUGUGUGAAGGGACAGCCUACAUCCGAAGUCAUGUUUAAUACAUGUGUGAAGGGACAGCCUACAUCCGAAGUCAUGUUUAAUACAUGUGUGAAGGGACAGCCUAUAUCCGAAGUCAUGUUUAAUACAUGUGUGAAGGGACAGCCUAUAUCCGAAGUCAUGUUUAAUACAUGUGUGAAGGGAGAGCCGGUGGAAUGGAUGAAAAAGGGAUCUCAUAAAGUUAUUUGACGAGGACAACCAACAGUGAAUACUGUGACUUCUCUGUCUGAAUCCCAGGAGGUUGGAGGCACCUUAAUUGGGGAGGACAAGGCUCAUAGUAAUGGCUGGAAUGGAAUGAAUGGUUUCCAUGCAUUUGAUACUAUUCCAUUCACUACAUUCCAGGCCUUUUUAUGAGUAGUCCUCCCCUCAGCAGCCUCCUGUGGUCUGAGUGAUACAAAGCUAAUGUUGCAGGAGAGGGUAAGCUAAUUAAGAGGACAAGAGGGAGGAUGGCCAAGCAAGGGAGAAAGAGUAGAGCGAGAUUACAUUACAGAGAUAGAAAUAUGUAGAAUAACGUCUUUACCAAAGUACAUAACUAGUCAUUCACAUCCCUCAGCUUUCAAAUAAACAGUAACUCCUCACUGUCCAACAGGCAGCUUUCAAAUAAACAGUAACUCCUCACUGUCCAACAGGCAGCUUUCAAAUAAACAGUAACUCCUCACUGUCCAACAGGCAGCUUUCAAAUAAACAGUAACUCCUCACUGUCCAACACGCAGCUUUCAAAUAACAGUAACUCCUCACUGUCCAACAGGCAGCUUUCAAAUAAACAGUAACUCCUCACUGUCCAACAGGCAGCUUUCAAAUAAACAGUAACUCC